AUCGAACUCAUCAAGGAAAGAAAGACAGCUAAGAGCACCAAGUUUACAAUUAUAUCAACACCACUGGCAUGUCACAUUUAUGUAUUGAACCCAAUCCGCUAUUUUCUUUAAAUAUGUAGACAUGACUUCUCUAUACAAACACAGACGAGAAUGCUGUCACUUGUGCACUUCACCAAAAGAGUAAUGGGAAAGUAGCCAAGUG
rnacentral:lncRNA from 1 species